ACGCUCGACACCUACGGGAGGCAGCAGUGGGGAAUAUUGCACAAUGGGGGAAACCCUGAUGCAGCAACGCCGCGUGAAGGAAGACGGUUUUCGGAUUGUAACUUCUAUCGACAGGGACGAAGAAAGUGACGGUACCUGAAUAAGAAGCCCCGGCUAACUACGUGUCAGCAGCCGCGGUAAUCUGAGCGGGCUGGCAAGGC
rnacentral:rRNA from 1 species